AUUGAACGCUGGCGGCAGGCCUAACACAUGCAAGUCUAGCGAGCGGCGGAAGGGUGAGUAAUGUCUGGGAACCUGCCAGAUGGAGGGGGAUAACUACUGGAAACGGUAGCUAAUACCGCAUACCAUCAGAUGUGCCCAGAUGGGAUGUGCUAGUAUGUGGGGUACCGGCUCACCUAGGCGACGAUCCCUAGCUGGUCUGCGAGGAUGACCAGCCACACUGGAACUGAGACACGGUCCAGACUCCUACGGGAGGCAGCAGUGGGGAAGAGUGCACAAUGGGCGCAAGCCUGAUGCAGCCAUGCCGCGUGUGUGACGAAGGCCUGCGGGUUGUAAAGCACUUUCAGCGGGGAGGCGGUACCCGCAGAAGAAGCACCGGCGAACUCCGUGCCAGCAGCCGCGGUAAUAC
rnacentral:rRNA from 1 species